UACGUAGGCAGCGAGCGUUGUUCGGAAUUACUGGGCGUAAAGCGUGCGCAGGCGGUUAUGUAAGACAGAUGUGAAAUGCCCGGGCUUAACCUGGGAACUGCAUUUGUGACUGCAUGGCUAGAGUUUGGCAGAGGGGGGUAGAAUUCCACGUGUAGCAGUGAAAUGCGUAGAUAUGUGGAGGAACACCGAUGGCGAAGGCAGCCCCCUGGGUCAAGACUGACGCUCAUGCACGAAAGCGUGGGGAGCAAACAGG
rnacentral:rRNA from 1 species